CCAGGUGUGCCACCUAGUCCACCGACAUAAGGGACCCCUGUGGACACUGCUGGUGGGCCCAGAGGCCCAGAAGUGGGGUCGCCCAACCCCACAUCAAAGGCGGUUCCAGGGUCGGUGGCCUCCCACCGACCUUCCCCACAUGUCCCACAUGUUGAUUUGCCCCUGCCGUUGAUCAAAUGGCGGUUGUGAGGUCAGUUUGAUCCAAGGGUGGAGAGAAGAUGUC
rnacentral:lncRNA from 1 species